AACGAACGCUGGCGGCAGGCCUAACACAUGCAAGUCGCACGGGACCUUCGGGUCUAGUGGCGGACGGGUGAGUAACGCGUGGGAACGUGCCCUUUGGUUCGGAAUAGCCCCGGGAAACUGGGAGUAAUACCGGAUAAGCCCUACGGGGGAAAGAUUUAUCGCCAAAGGAUCGGCCCGCGUUGGAUUAGGUAGUUGGUGAGGUAAUGGCUCAACAAGCAGACGAUCCAUAGCUGGUUUGAGAGGAUGAUCAGCCACACUGGGACUGAGACACGGCCCAGACUCCUACGGGAGGCAGCAGUGGGGAAUCUUAGACAAUGGGGGAAACCCUGAUCUAGCCAUGCCGCGUGAUCGAUGAAGGCCUUAGGGUUGUAAAGAUCUUUCAGUGGGGAAGAUAAUGACUGUACCCACAGAAGAAGCCCCGGCUAACUCCGUGCCAGCCGCCGCAGUAA
rnacentral:rRNA from 1 species